UCCGGUUGAUCCCGCCGGAGGUCACCGCUAUUGGGAUUCGACUAAGCCAUGCGAGUCGAGAGGGUUCGGCCCUCGGCUGACGGCUCAGUAACACGUGGAUAAUCUGCCCUAAGGUGGAGGAUAACCUCGGGAAACUGAGAAUAAUACUCCAUAGAUCUUUGAGGCUGGAAUGCGCUUAGAUUGAAAGCUUCGGCGCCUAAGGAUGAGUCUGCGGACUAUCAGGUAGUAGUCAGGGUAAGGACCUGACUAGCCUACGACGGAUACGGGUUGUGAGAGCAAUAACCCGGAGAUGAUAUCUGAGACACGAUAUCAGGCCCUACGGGGCGCAGCAGGCGCGAAAACUUCACAAUGCGCGAAAGCGCGAUGAGGGGAUCCCAAGUGCUUGCACGUAAGUGUAAGCUGUUUUUCUGUCUAAAAAGCAGAGAGAGUAAGGGCUGGGUAAGACGGGUGCCAGCCGCCGCGGUAAUACCUGCAGCUCAAGUGGUGGCCGCUAUUAUUGGGCCUAAAACGUCCGUAGCCGGCUGAGUAAAUGCCUGGGUAAAUCGUGUGGCUUAACCAUACGAAUUCCGGGUAGACUGCUCAGCUUGGGACCGGAAGAAGUUAGAGGUACUCCUGGGGUAGGGGUGAAAUCCUGUAAUCCUGGGGGGACCACCAGUGGCGAAGGCGUCUAACUAGGACGGGUCUGACGGUGAGGGACGAAGCCCUGGGGCGCAAACCGGAUUAGAUACCCGGGUAGUCCUGGCUGUAAACGAUGCGUGCUAGGUGUUGGUAUGGCUAUGAGCCGUAUCAGUGCCGUAGGGAAACCGUUAAGCGCGCCGCCUGGGGAGUACGGUCGCAAGACUGAAACUUAAAGGAAUUGGCGGGGGAGCCCCCCAAGGGGUGAAGCUUGCGGUUCAAUUGGAGUGCAACGCCGGG
rnacentral:rRNA from 1 species